UACGGGGGGAGCAAGCGUUGUUCGGAUUUACUGGGCGUAAAGGGCGCGUAGGCGGCCAGCGCAAGUCAGUUGUGAAAUCUCCGGGCUUAACUCGGAACGGUCAACUGAUACUGCGCGGCUAGAGUGCGGAAGGGGCAACUGGAAUUCUCGGUGUAACGGUGAAAUGCGUAGAUAUCGAGAGGAACACCUGCGGCGAAGGCGGGUUGCUGGGCCGACACUGACGCUGAUGCGCGAAAGCCAGGGGAGCGAACGGG
rnacentral:rRNA from 1 species